ensembl:lncRNA
AUGCUUUCAUUCAUUGGAAAUGUAGUUAUCAAGCAUCGGUUAGAAGUGUGCCAUUCACUGGGACCCCUGACAAGAAGGAGCCCUGCAUGUCAGUCUCAGACUCCAGUUAAGGAGACAGAUACACAAACAGAGAAUCAGCAAGCAUGUGUAUGCACACUACAAACCAAUGGCAGGAACCACAACUAUUAUUUCUCUGGAGGAGGAGAAGGAUUAAUUGUAUCCAAAUGAAGCUCAAAAGUGUACGUGGCUGUACCAGACAUCUGGUGUGUUAACUCUCAGCAGAUCGGCCCUACAGCAGCUGAUGACAGCAGAUAGGACUCUCAGACAGGAGCAUCCACCUCAGGACUUAUUUAUGAUGCAAGAGUCAGUGAUGAAGCACACGUGCUGCCUUGAAAUGGCACAGCUGUGAAAAGGCGCAGCCUUGGGCUGCGGCACCAUGGCAUUGGAUGGUAUUAAGCAGCCCUUCCCGGCCACUUACCUAAUAGAAGCAUGUGCACUAUUUCCCAGACUCCACAACAGGGGCACAUGAAGAGAUAAACCUCUCGUAGAAAGGAUUCAAAACGGGCUAAGAAAUAUUCAUGCAUCUAUCAGUGGAUGGCAUUAGAUCAAAUCAGUUCUUUUUGUUAGCAAGGAUUAUAUGAACAAUUUUAAAGUUUUGUAGUUUUAACAUUUCAAAAUAGUUUUUUUUUUCUUUUAUCCUUAAAAAUCCACUGAAAUAUCUCCCAGGUAUAUUGCUUUUGUGGGUUGAUUUCAGAAAGUCCCUUCAGUGGAACAGAAGCAAACUGGAAGUUCCAGUUCCACAUAUCUUUUUAUUAUGGCUGACUACAGACUUCUUCAGAUUAGUGGCCGAUAAAGUUCAAAACUGUAAUUUCCCCCAGCAAAUAGGAAUUGGAAGCCUAGAGAGUUAAUAGGGCUUUUUCAUGUCGACUCAACUCUGUGAUCUAAUUUCAGAUUGCAGGAAAUAUGCCAACUUUAGCGGCUAAUUAAAGUUAUUCAUUGAAAAUUAUUUGCAGCCAACCUUUAAUCUCUUACAGCAAAGUGCAUUGAUGAUGUUGGCAGCAUACACAUUGGCAGCAUGUAUGUUAGAUUUUUAGGAAGGAAUGCAAAAAAAAUGGUUGCAUUUGGAUUAUGCAGUUUGCUUGGCUGAAAAGUUUUCAGACUACAAGAUGCUAAUUUUGGCUAAAUUUUGUGAUAGUUCAUAUUUUCCACUUAAAUACUGGAGCCUUUUUUUGAGAGAGGGCUUUAAUAGGAAUACAUUUCUCCCACAUUGAAGAAUAAUUCUGGGACAGACUGGCGUUUGCUUUGCUAGUUAGGAUUUUACUAGAUUUAUUAAAUUCAGAUUGCUGUAGGAUUAAACUGAAAACCUCUUCCGUUGUUGCCACAUUAUGGCCAUCUGGGGUUUAAUCCUAUUUUUCCAAGGGACAUCCAACUCUAAUGUAAAUUGCAUGAAGCCAGGGAGGUUUUAUCUAAUUGGUUCACUGCUGUAGCCCAAGAGCCCACAGUAGGAUUUGGCAACUUGACACAUAGAUUUGAUGCCCGCCAUAUAUUCAUUAAGUGAAUGACUCAAAGAAUGAAUGAUAUUUAGUCGCGAGUGAAGGAGAGAAUGUGACUGUAUUUAGACCGACUGGCAAGCCUAAAUACUUGGUUUCAAAGAAGUUCACUCCACUAGUGCCAGGAACAUUUGGAUCCCAACCACACCCUGUGUUCCAUCCUUUCUUCCUCCUUGCUUUUACUUCCGCUAUUUUAACAAAACAGUUUUAUUUGAACUUUUUACAAAAGUAAAAGAAUUUGGCAGAGCUUAAUGAAUGACCUUCAUAUCAUAUUGACUAAGCUAGGGCUUUUAAAAAUAAAGAACAGCUUUAAAUCACUCAGAACAUCAGUUGCAUCUAAAAGUGACCCUCAAUAAAACAACAAAAAUAAAUAUUAAAAGAACAAUAACGUGUAGUCAGAAAAUUUUGUCUUCAGCACUCUAUGCCUCAACUUUUUUCUUUUUUCAUACUUUGCCCAACGGUACCAGUUUCUCCACUUCGUGUCCUCCUCGCUCAGAAAAGGGUUUUAUAACUCAUUCACUUUGAAUUAUAAAUGAAACGAUCUAUUGCUAUCCAGAGGUAUUACAAUUUUAAAUUGAAAAAUCAAUUUCUAAUUGUGUAAGAGUAUUUUGGGCAUUAAGAGGCUUAUUCAGAAGCCCUGAAAUCAUAUUAUCCAUUCCCUAUAUAAUAUUAAUGAGUAUUAGUUAGCAAUAAAACUCAUGGGCUAGUAAUAGAGGCAAAUGGGCAAAACUAAUUCUAAAUUUCUAUAAUUAGUAUUAAUAAUAUAACUAUGUAUAAUGUGACUGUUUGAAACCGGGAGUGAUCAGUUUGCCUGAACACUCUGGAAAAAUCAUUAUUUCAUAAAUGAGCCUUUUUUAUCAUUAGAAAGUUUUAGUAAUUUUUUCAAAAUGUAUCCUUUUGUUGAAAUGAAGACUGUUUUUAUGUUCUUUACACAUUAGCCAAGUGCUGGUCCCUGGAGUGGAAAAAACCAGAUGUUUUAGGUAAGUAAGUUUUUCUUUUUCUUCUUUGUCUUUAAGAACUGCUUAUUUCCUCAGCAUUUAAAUAAGCUAUAUCUUUGUCUAAUUUUAACUACUGCCCCGUUCCGUUAGAAGCCGUGGACUUCCUAGCAUGUGUUCUAAUUUAGCAAGGAUCUCUCUAACAUGGGUAGCUGCUGACAAGGGGUAAUGAAUUUGCCUCUAAUAAGGAUUGGACUGUCACUCACUUGGUAUGUCCUCUGCCUGACUUCAUUGUUAGAUGUGA